CUGCGCAACGGCAUUAGGCUCUAGCUGCCUUCAGGCAAGUACAUCAAGGCCGGGGACACACGUCGCCGGUGGGGCGGUCCAGGCCUCUGCCACAUGUUCCAACCCCAAGCCCGAGGCAUCGAUGUCUCAGAGAAGGGCCCUGACUCCCAGAGGACAGGAGGGUCCCCCACCUGCUCAUUGUGACCAGCGGCCUGCCCUUCCCUGGGCCUCUGUGUUCUGCCUGGCCCUUUAAUGAGGUCACAAACCAAACCCUCCACCCAGAGGGAAGAGGCCAGGCUGUUUCCGGGGGCUGGCCAGGUGGGCAGCUGCAGUCUGGGCAUGUGCGUCUGUGUGGCACAGGGGCUUCUGGACCGGGGAUUCGGUGCCAACCCAGGGAGGAGAACUGUGGGUGGGGACAUCUGGCCCUAGUCUCAGAGUGACAUCCCUCGAACCCCAUCUGGCCCCAGAAGGGUGCUCGUGAGGCAGGCUGAGUCUGCUGGUCCUGCCACAGGCUGCCCAGGAGGACCACACCUCUCACAGUGGAAGGUUUGCUCUUCAGGAAGUCCCGACAAAGACCCUCCAGGCUCCCUCGGCCACACCCUGGGCGAGCGCAGGCGGCCAUAAGAGUCCUCCCAGGCCAGCUGAGCCUGCCCUGCAGCACUGGCAGCGCUUGGGACCAGACUCCCUUCAGGCUGCAAGCCCUGUGGGUACUGCGACAGCUCAGCACCCACCACACAUCAGCAACGGGAUAACCAUACCACUGAGGUGAAGAUGCAGAAGGCAGGACAGCCGCCAUGAAGGGUCCUGUCCACUGGCCACUAAGGCCUGGCCCGACUUUCCACAAGACCCGGCGGGGAUGCCCCUAGGAGUGGAGCCCUUCCUCUAGGGAGGCUCUGGUGACUGGAUCAGCUGGACUCCUGGCUGCUGGCCUCGGAGCCAGACUCUGCUUUUCCUUCACUACCUCACAGCUCCUGCACAGGGGCCUGACGAGCCUGCUGUCUCCGGGCUAGAGGAGGGAACUGGGGCUCAGAGCUGGACAAGGGGCCCAGGCCCAGGCCGCACACGGCGCAGCAGGAAGUCUGUGGCUCUCCGCGGGCGGUCACCCUGGGGCUCCGUACUAUGGACAAUCAUCAUCCAGCAGGGAGUGGGCAGGUGCCAGUUCUCUCUGGGACUCAGGCAGUGUCAAAUAUGAGGGGUCUUCAAAAAGCCCACGGAGAACGUGCACUGUGACGGAACUGUGCGUGGGUUUCAAACUUUUCUGCACCACAAUAAACUGAUACUAACGUGUCCGAGCGUGCCUGAACCACAGAGUCUGCGGCACUAAGGAGUGUAAGACGUCAGUCAGAAAAGGGCCCAGUCACAGCCCCAGGAGUUCCGCUACAACCAGGCAAAUGUCAGCGUCACAUUCACGUGAGGCUUGGGUGGGAGAAUGAAUGGGAAAGCCAAUGCCACUUUCCGAAAAGCAUCAAAUUCACAGGACAACGUCCCAGAGA